ensembl:processed_transcript Snhg8 small nucleolar RNA host gene 8
CUCUCGCGCGCAGGCUCUUGGGAGAGCGUCACCCGGGCUAUAAAAGCGUGCGCGCACCGUUCAGAAGUCUCUUUGGCUGCGAUCCGCCUACGAGUAUGUAGUUGUAUGGUGGGGAUGAUAUCUUGGGCCUUAUUUGUGAGUGGCCGAGAUGCGGGAGACACAAGGUGGCUAUGGUGCUGGCCGAAAGCCAUCAACUCUGCAAGAGCGCCGUGAAGGUUAGCGCGACGACCACCAUGUAAAGCCGAUACGGUGUUGGGCGGCGUGACGCAAGUUCGCCACCGCUGGGUCGGAUGGAAACGCCGGGACCCGUUGCUGUUGAACAGUGGAGGAAGUGUUAAGGUACUGUAGUGGUUGAGAUCGUCUCUGGUCAACUUACAGGGAAUCUUCGCUUUUAAUUUUUGAAAAUUGAAUAUUUUAUAUUAAAUAAAAGAUGUUUGGUGUGUAAUAA